AGUAGUACAAUACCGGGAGGUGACACGGGCACACAUCCGGGAUUACGAGCUUUGCCUCACAAAAAAAUACAAACCGCGCGAAAAUUCAAAUUUUUGCUCUUUUGACAGCGCUGAGAAACCUUCGAAUAGUGACGAGAAGACCAGACGUAUCCCUUCGUGACAAGCUGCUACUUGUUCUUUUCAGCUCGAGCCUUUUUUGGGAGCUACUCUGGUACAUCGUCCACACUGCUGCCAAGUCUCGACUUCCCAAAAUGGAUGGAAGUGACGAAUAUGGAGGACGCUAUCCUAGAACCCGUGGACAGAAGAGGAAGAGCGACGACUUGGGUGCGGCAGCGAAGUCUGCCUGCCCAACGCCAAUUGCUCCUCACCCAAAAACGCACCCCAUUGACGAAGAUCAUCCUUGUAUAGACGAUGAUAAAUACUCUCAUCUGACAAGGUUAGUUGCACAGUUCUACCAUAUUUGUAAGGUGGACGUCGGAUAUAACAUGGCUUAUCUCUUUUUGGUAUGCCAUCUACUGCACAGAACACG